GGCGAACGGGUGAGUAACACGUGGGCAAUCUGCCCUUCACUCUGGGACAAGCCCUGGAAACGGGGUCUAAUACCGGAUAACACCGGCUUCCGCAUGGGAGCUGGUUGAAAGCUCCGGCGGUGAAGGAUGAGCCCGCGGCCUAUCAGCUUGUUGGUGGGGUAAUGGCCUACCAAGGCGACGACGGGUAGCCGGCCUGAGAGGGCGACCGGCCACACUGGGACUGAGACACGGCCCAGACUCCUACGGGAGGCAGCAGUGGGGAAGAUUGCACAAUGGGCGAAAGCCUGAUGCAGCGACGCCGCGUGAGGGAUGACGGCCUUCGGGUUGUAAACCUCUUUCAGCAGGGAAGAAGCGAAAGUGACGGUACCUGCAGAAGAAGCGCCGGCUAACUACGUGCCAGCAGCCGCGGUAAUACGUAGGGCGCAAGCGUUGUCCGGAAUUAUUGGGCGUAAAGAGCUCGUAGGCGGCUUGUCACGUCGGGUGUGAAAGCCCGGGGCUUAACCCCGGGUCUGCAUCCGAUACGGGCAGGCUAGAGUGUGGUAGGGGAGAUCGGAAUUCCUGGUGUAGCGGUGAAAUGCGCAGAUAUCAGGAGGAACACCGGUGGCGAAGGCGGAUCUCUGGGCCAUUACUGACGCUGAGGAGCGAAAGCGUGGGGAGCGAACAGGAUUAGAUACCCUGGUAGUCC
rnacentral:rRNA from 1 species